rnacentral:rRNA from 1 species
GACAGAGGUCCCAAGCGUUAGGCGGAAUCACUGGGCUUAAAGCGUGUGUAGGCGGACUUCUAAGUACCUUGUGAAAUCCCACGGCUCAACCGUGGAACUGCUUGGUAUACUGGUUGUCUUGGGCCAUCUAGGGGCUAGCGGAACAAGCGGUGGAGCGGUGAAAUGCGUAGAUAUCGUUUGGAACGCCAAUGGUGAAAACAGCUAGCUGGGGAUGUGCCGACGCUGAGACACGAAAGCCAGGGGAGCGAACGGG